CUCCAUGUGUCUUUGGAACCUGUCAGCUGUGGCAGUUGCCCUUCCUAGCCAUGGAAGAGUAAGUAUAUUCUUGUUUAUUGGCAAAGCUGUCACCAUUUCAUUGGUAUCAGAUUCUGACUUGCACAAGUAACAUUC
ensembl:snoRNA